UACGUAGGGUGCGAGCGUUGUCCGGAAUUAUUGGGCGUAAAGAGCUCGUAGGCGGUUUGUUGCGUCGGCCGUGAAAACCUGCAGCUUAACUGUGGGCCUGCGGCCGAUACGGGCAGACUUGAGUUCGGUAGGGGAGACUGGAAUUCCUGGUGUAGCGGUGAAAUGCGCAGAUAUCAGGAGGAACACCGGUGGCGAAGGCGGCGUCCUGGACCAACACUGACACUGAGGAGCGAAAGCCAGGGGAGCAAACGGG
rnacentral:rRNA from 1 species